AAAAUUGUUUAACUGUGUUGCUAUAUAUAGCAAAAAAGAGGAAUGAAAAUAUAUAUAUAUAUAUAUAUAUAUAUAUAUAUAUAUAUAUAUCAAUCAUAUUUAUUGCUAUAUAUAGCAGCACAGGUAAACAAUUUU